UACGAAGGGGGCUAGCGUUGCUCGGAAUUACUGGGCGUAAAGCGCACGUAGGCGGAUUUAUAAGUCAGGGUGAAAUCCCGGGGCUCAACCUCGGAACUGCCUUUGAUACUGUAGAUCUCGAGUCCGAUAGAGGUGGGUGGAAUUCCUAGUGUAGAGGUGAAAUUCGUAGAUAUUAGGAAGAACACCGGUGGCGAAGGCGGCAUCCUGGACCGGCAUUGACGCUGAGGCGCGAAAGCCAGGGAGCAAAGCGGG
rnacentral:rRNA from 1 species